CUUCCGUAGGGUGAACCUGCGGAAGGAUCAUUACCGAGUUGAUUCGGGCUCCGUCCCGAUCCUCCCACCCUUUGUAUACCUACCUCUGUUGCUUUGGCGGGCCGCGGUCUUCCGCGGCCGCCCCCCGAUUUUGGGGGGUGGCUAGUGCCCGCCAGAGGACUAUCAAACUCCAGUCAGGAAACGUUGCAGUCUGAAAAAAAAUAUUAAAUAAACUAAAACUUUCAACAACGGAUCUCUUGGUUCUGGCAUCGAUGAAGAACGCAGCGAAAUGCGAUAAGUAAUGUGAAUUGCAGAAUUCAGUGAAUCAUCGAAUCUUUGAACGCACAUUGCGCCCCUUGGUAUUCCGGGGGGCAUGCCUGUUCGAGCGUCAUUUCAACCCUCAAGCUCUGCUUGGUAUUGGGCACCGUCCUUUGCGGGCGCGCCUCAAAGACCUCGGCGGUGGCGUCUUGCCUCAAGCGUAGUAGAAUACACCUCGCUUCGGAGCGUAAGGCGUCGCCCGCCGGACGAACCUUCUGAACUUUUCUCAAGGUUGACCUCGGAUCAGGUAGGGAUACCCGCUGAACUUAAGCAUAUCAAUAAGCGGAGGAA
rnacentral:rRNA from 1 species